AAAGUUAGUGGCGGACGGGUGAGUAACACGUGGGCAACCUGCCUGUAAGUUGGGGAUAACUCCGGGAAACCGGGGCUAAUACCGAAUGAUAAAGUGUGGCGCAUGCCACGCUUUUGAAAGAUGGUUUCGGCUAUCGCUUACAGAUGGGCCCGCGGUGCAUUAGCUAGUUGGUAGGGUAAUGGCCUACCAAGGCAACGAUGCAUAGCCGACCUGAGAGGGUGAUCGGCCACACUGGGACUGAGACACGGCCCAGACUCCUACGGGAGGCAGCAGUAGGGAAUCUUCCGCAAUGGACGAAAGUCUGACGGAGC
rnacentral:rRNA from 1 species